rnacentral:rRNA from 12 species
UUUAAAGAGUGCGUAACAGCUCACUAGUCGAGCGAUUUGGCAUGGAUAAUAAUCGGGCAUAAAACAUACUACCGAAGCUAUGAACUCGAAAGAGUGGUAGGAGAGCAUUCUAACAGCGCUGAAGGUGUACCGUAAGGUAUGCUGGAGUGGUUAGAAAAGAAAAUGUAGGCAUAAGUAACGAUAAUGCGGGCGAGAAACCCGCUCACCGAAAGACUAAGGUUUCCUGAUCAACGCUAAUCGGAUCAGGGUUAGUCGGGUCCUAACGCGAACCCAAAAGGGGUAGUGGAUGGACAACAGGUUAAUAUUCCUGUACCUGCUCACACUAAAAGUGACGGAGGCGAAUAGUUAGUGCGCACAGACGGAAUUGUGCGUUGAAAAGAGUGGUAACACCUUGAUAGUACACUAAGACUACGGUCGCGGUGAUAAUCUAGCGAAUCGACUUCCAAGAAAAGCAAGUGAAGCAGCCCGUACCCUAAACCGACACAGGUAGUUGGGAUGAGAAUUCUAAGGUGCUCGAGAGAUUCAUGGCUAAGGAACUAGGCAAAAUGGACCUGUAACUUCGGGAGAAAGGUCGCCAUCCUUCGGGAUGGCCGCAGUGAAAAGGUCCAGGCGACUGUUUAUCAAAAACACAUGGCUUUGCUAAAUUGAAAGAUGAUGUAUAAGGCCUGACACCUGCCCGGUGCUGGAAGGUUAAGUGGAGGGUUUAGCUUCGGCGAAGAUCUGAAAUGAAGCCCCAGUAAACGGCGGCCGUAACUAUAACGGUCCUAAGGUAGCGAAAUUCCUUGUCGGGUA